rnacentral:rRNA from 1 species
AUUGAACGCUGGCGGCAUGCCUUACACAUGCAAGUCGAACGGUAACGGGCCUUCGGGUGCCGACGAGUGGCGAACGGGUGAGUAAUGUAUCGGAACGUACCUUUCAGUGGGGGAUAACGUAGCGAAAGUUACGCUAAUACCGCAUAUUCUGUGAGCAGGAAAGCAGGGGAUCGCAAGACCUUGCGCUGAUUGAGCGGCCGAUAUCAGAUUAGCUAGUUGGUGAGGUAAAGGCUCACCAAGGCGACGAUCUGUAGCGGGUCUGAGAGGAUGAUCCGCCACACUGGAACUCCCCCUCUGUCCAGACUCCUACGGGAGGCAGCCUUUCUCCAUUUUGGACAAUGGGGGCAACCCUCCUCCCUCCAUGCCGCGUGAGUGAAGAAGGCCUUCGGGUUGUCCCCCUCUUUCUGCCGGGACGAAAUCUUCUUCUUUCCUCCCCUGUGCGGAUGACGGUACCGGCAUCCGCAGCACCGGCUAACUACGUGCCAGCCGCCGCGGUAACCC